AAUUUUCAUACCUUGACCAGUACAAUUUCAAUAUUACACAAGGAGACGAAUUAUUGGGAUUUUUCGCGUUCUAUAUUACAUUCUGUCCCAGUUUUUGUUGAAACACCUUGUGCUUCGAAACAAUUAUUGAACUAAUUCAGCUACUUGUUCAGCAAAUUAUACUCAAUUGUGCCUUAUCCGCAGCUGCGGCAAACCAAAAUGUAGGUGACUAAAUAGCGUUUUAACUGGAUGGUAUACCAACUAUAGGAUGUCAUCAAUUAUAAUGAAAAUCAAAUCGUUCUGUCUCUUCUUUCAAUGCCCCUGAAUUUUCUUUCACGAUGAUUAAUGGGCCGAUGUUGCCGUCAGCUCUUGUGCGAAACGGUCCACCGCAAACUUCCCGAGCUCUUACCCGCGCGAGACAAACCCUUCGUUCGUUUUCUGGUUUAGCGGAGGACACUGAGCUUUCAGAGUUCAGCAAAAACGGACGCGGGGCGCACGUCGUAAACCAAUCUCCACCGCACAAAGUCUUUAAACUUCAGACAUGAUCUUGGAUCUCAGAAAAAGUUGACUCCACACUUCCAGAGCUGGAUCUAAUAUCAAUUGUGACGCGAUUUAUGGACGGUAGGAAUAUUUCUCACAUCAACGGUGUAAGUUUUAUCAAAGGAAACUUUUAAUUGACUAUAGUGACUUCAUUCCAGUCAACGAGGACAAAUAUGCUGUAUUCUCCAAAGUUUACCUUGGAAUAUUUGUUGCUCAGUCUGGAUCGCCAGUAGACAACCACAUAUUCGUCAGAAAGGAGAAGACGCCAGAAGCCCAACUACUCCUCAUAUCACCGGGACCGCCAAGAACCUCUUCGGAAUAUCUCUCGACAUCUUUCGACGAGGGAUUCGUGAUUAAAACGGAAAUCGUCGGUGACGCAGAACAAAUCGUCUCUCACAGAACGUCGCCGACUUUACGUGACUCUGUCAUCUGAAAAGAAUAGGAAAAUUGCAACAUCAUUAUUGCACAACAGGGCAUGACUUAUUCCUCUGCAGAUACCGUGUACAUUACUUGUAACUCUAAAUUGGAAUUGGAAGUCGGGCCAUCGUCACUCUCCGCUACUGUUCGGCGUCCUUCGUCUUCGUCCGGAAUCUUCGUAAAAUACAUCGUGGGUGUCGGACACUGACCGAAAAUAAGCAGCUGAUUCGUCGCUCGGAAAUUAAUUCAUCUUGCUAACUGAUGUAAUUUGGAAGCCCGAUUGAAACUUCGAUACAAGCAUUAUGACGAAAAUACACAACACCAUUGUCUGUCUCACGCUCACUCUUCUUUUCGUGACUGUGAAUGCCGGGGGAGCCGCUCCUAAUUGGUUGCAUUCUAUCUGCUCUUGGUUCGGUUUCUGUAACGAGGUGUGUUACGGAGACCUCGGGUGCUUCGACACCUCGCUCAACUGCCACCGGGACUUCUUUCCGCCCCUCCCACCCGAAGACAUCAACAC